rnacentral:rRNA from 1 species
AUACGUAGGGUGCAAGCGUUAAUCGGAAUUACUGGGCGUAAAGCGUGCGCAGGCGGUUUUGUAAGACAGUGGUGAAAUCCCCGGGCUCAACCUGGGAACUGCCAUUUUGACUGCAAGGCUGGAGUGCGGCAGAGGGGGAUGGAAUUCCGCGUGUAGCAGUGAAAUGCGUAGAUAUGCGGAGGAACACCGAUGGCGAAGGCAAUCCCCUGGGCCUGCACUGACGCUCAUGCACGAAAGCGUGGGGAGCAAACAGGAUUAGAUACCCUGGUAGUCCACGCCCUAAACGAUGUCAACUGGUUGUUGGGGAUUUAUUUUCUCAGUAACGAAGCUAACGCGUGAAGUUGACCGCCUGGGGAGUACGGCCGCAAGGUUAAAACUCAAAUGAAUUGACGGGG